UACGAAGGGGGCUAGCGUUGCUCGGAAUCACUGGGCGUAAAGGGUGCGUAGGUGGGUCUGUAAGUCAGUGGUGAAAUCUCCGAGCUUAACUCGGAAACUGCCAUUGAUACUAUAGAUCUUGAAUUAUCUGGAGGUAAGCGGAAUAUGUCAUGUAGCGGUGAAAUGCUUAGAUAUGACAUAGAACACCAAUUGCGAAGGCAGCUUACUACGGAUAUAUUGACACUGAGGCACGAAAGCGUGGGGAUCAAACAGG
rnacentral:rRNA from 1 species